rnacentral:rRNA from 1 species
CCUAACACAUGCAAGUCGAACGAGAUCUUCGGAUCUAGUGGCGCACGGGUGCGUAACGCGUGGGAAUCUGCCCUUGGGUACGGAAUAACUCGCCGAAAGGUGAGCUAAUACCGUAUGAAGGCUACGGACCAAAGAUUUAUCGCCUGAGGAUGAGCCCGCGUUGGAUUAGCUAGUUGGUGGGGUAAAGGCUCACCGAGGCUACGAUCCUUAGCUGGUCUGAGAGGAUGAUCAGCCACACUGGGACUGAGACACGGCCCAGACUCC